rnacentral:rRNA from 1 species
GAUGAACGCUGGCGGCGUGCCUAAUGCAUGCAAGUCGAGCGAACAGACGAGGAUCUUGCUCCUCUUACGUUAGCGGCGGACGGGUGAGUAACACGUGGCUAACCUACCUAUAAGACUGGGAUAACUUCGGGAAACCGGAGCUAAUACCGGAUAAUAUAUUGAACCUCAUGGUUCAAUAGUGAAAGACGGUUUUGCUGUCACUUAUAGAUGGAUCCGCGCCGCAUUAGCUAGUUGGUAAGGUAACGGCUUACCAAGGCAACGAUGCGUAGCCGACCUGAGAGGGUGAUCGGCCACACUGGAACUGAGACACGGUCCAGACUCCUACGGGAGGCAGCAGUAGGGAAUCUUCCGCAAUGGGCGAAAGCCUGACGGAGCAACGCCGCGUGAGUGAUGAAGGUCUUCGGAUCGUAAAACUCUGUUAUUAGGGAAGAACAAAUGUGUAAGUAACUAUGCACGUCUUGACGGUACCUAAUCAGAAAGCCACGGCUAACUACGUG